rnacentral:lncRNA from 1 species
UAGUCUGAAUGACUCAUGGUAAUAUUCGCUCUAGUGCUUCUCUCAUCAAUCAUCUGUAUACAAUAACCUAAGGUCACCCACCAGUCAUAAUCUCACUAACACUCUACGACUGGCCCGUCGUACCCACUCCGCGUGGACUGUACGACCAGCAUCUACUUGGAUCCAAGCCGAGCGUGCGAUGCGGUGAAUACUAUAAGCACUAAACCAUGGUGCAGGAUAUGAGCUCAAUAUAUCUCAUCAUCAACAUAACAGUAAUUAAAUACUUACCUGUGCGUCCA